GACGAACGCUGGCGGCGUGCUUAACACAUGCAAGUCGAACGGAAAGGCCCUGCUUUUGUGGGGUGCUCGAGUGGCGAACGGGUGAGUAACACGUGAGUAACCUGCCCUUGACUUUGGGAUAACUUCAGGAAACUGGGGCUAAUACCGGAUAGGAGCUCCUGCUGCAUGGUGGGGGUUGGAAAGUUUCGGCGGUUGGGGAUGGACUCGCGGCUUAUCAGCUUGUUGGUGGGGUAGUGGCUUACCAAGACUUUGACGGGUAGCCGGCCUGAGAGGGUGACCGGCCACAUUGGGACUGAGAUACGGCCCAGACUCCUACGGGAGGCAGCAGUAGGGAAUAUUGCACAAUGGGCGGAAGCCUGAUGCAGCAACGCCGCGUGCGGGAUGACGGCCUUCGGGUUGUAAACCGCUUUCGCCUGUGACGAAGCGUGAGUGACGGUAAUGGGUAAAGAAGCACCGGCUAACUACGUG
rnacentral:rRNA from 1 species